CGUAUAUUCCUAUUUAUAAAUACACUUAAUAAUCAAAAUUAACACUGGUUUCAAACUGUCCCAUCUUAUUCUGUGUGUUUUCGAAUUUGGAAAAUUUUACUUGCUGUGCAGAUAGUAAAUAACUCCUCGUGUGUUUUAUUGUUUUUUUUCCCUUAAAAAUCGGGUUUUCUUCCAGAUCUUCUCUUUUCAUUGCAAUUUAUGCAGCGUUUUAUGUAGAAAGGAUAUUGGAACCCAACCAUGGCGCCAUGAAUCCAUCCUAUAUUACUACGUUAAGGCCGAAUUCCCACCAAUGAAGCAAAGUCGCCUUAAGUCAUUCUUUAAAGCGCUUUCCAGAUAGAGCGCUGUUUGUUUUAUUGUUCGAUACGCACCAAUGCGGUAAGGCACCCCAAAGGCACGUUCGCUUUUAGUCAUGCUUUCAUCGCGCUUUAUGAAAGUGGAGCGUGCGCUACUUUUGCCUCAUGCUUUAUCUUGCUUUUCACUAGAAAUAUCGGUAAAAACACUCGUUAACAGUGUCGGAUUCGUACAGUCGAAUGCUGUAAAUUUAGUUUACUCACGGUAACGUUUCGAACAGAUUCAGAACAUCUUGCCUGGUAACACACACUUUGUUGCCUUUCAUUGCUGCGACCCCGGCUAUUCUAUUUUUUGAAAUCUGCUUCUUCUAUUAUCUCGCUUCUUAACACAGCUUGCUUGUUCAAAACAUAAGACAUGUUGUCCUUUUAAACACUAUCCCUGGUGUAUUAGCUGCCAGUCUGCCACCAUCCGAGGGGAGCUGACCUCUCGACUGCAUUCCUUGCGAACAACCGUCCGCUAGCCGUACUAAACGGAAUAUGCGAAGACCGAUAUAUUCGUAACAAAUCGAAAUGUCGACAAGAUUUUCUUUCUGCAAUUCCCAAUAUAAAUGUUUCUUUGUUCUUAUCCACUAACUGGUUGGCCUUGUUGACAGGAUUUUAUAUUGUUUCGUGUGAACCCAAUUAUUUCUGUGACAUGGCUGAAAGCACUGCAGCAUAGUGCUCCUUCCACCACGCCGACAAAAAAAUAAAUAAAAGUCUACAAUUGAAUUUAUUUCACUUUUAUUUAACAAAAUUGCGACACCAAGUGUGCAAUGCAAAUGCCUUGGGUGCAGUCGCUUAAAAACAAAUACCAGAGAAACAUAAUGAUGAUAAUCAUGUAUAAA